UACAGAGGUCUCAAGCGUUGUUCGGAUUCAUUGGGCGUAAAGGGUGCGUAGGUGGCGUCGUAAGUGGGGUGUGAAAUCCCGGGGCUUAACCCCGGGACUGCAUUCCAUACUGCGGUGCUUGAGGACUGGAGAGGGGACUGGAAUUUACGGUGUAGCAGUGAAAUGCGUAGAGAUCGUAAGGAAGACCAGUGGCGAAGGCGGGUCUCUGGACAGUUCCUGACACUGAGGCACGAAGGCCAGGGGAGCAAACGGG
rnacentral:rRNA from 1 species